GAUGAACGCUGGCGGCGUGCCUAAUACAUGCAAGUCGAGCGAAUGGAUUAAGAGCUUGCUCUUAUGAAGUUAGCGGCGGACGGGUGAGUAACACGUGGGUAGCCUGCCCAUAAGACUGGGAUAACUCCGGGAAACCGGGGCUAAUACCGGAUAACAUUUUGAACCGCAUGGUUCGAAAUUGAAAGGCGGCUUCGGCUGUCACUUAUGGAUGGACCCGCGUCGCAUUAGCUAGUUGGUGAGGUAACGGCUCACCAAGGCAACGAUGCGUAGCCGGCCUGAGAGGGUGAUCGGCCACACUGGGACUGAGACACGGACCAGACGCCUACGGGAGGCAGCAGUAGGGAAUCUUCCGCAAUGGACGAAAGUCUGACGGAGCAACGCCGCGUGAGUGAUGAAGGCUUUCGGGUCGUAAAACUCUGUUGUUAGGGAAGAACAAGUGCUAGUUGAAUAAGCUGGCACCUUGACGGUACCUAACCAGAAAGCCACGGCUAACUACGUGCCAGCAGCCGCGGUAA
rnacentral:rRNA from 1 species